GCCACUGAUAGUUUCUUCUUCAACUUCUUGAUGGUCUUCUCGACCUCUUUGGCGGUCUUUUCAGCCUCUUCGAUGGCCUUCUCAGCCUUCUGCCUCUUCUCCCUUUCCUCGGUGAAGGCACUCUCAGCUGACUCCAUUUUCUUUUGAUAGUCAACCUUCAACUUCUCAAACUUCUCUUUGUCCUUGCUCUACUGGAUCUCCGAAGAUGCCAAUUCGAUCUCUAGCUUGGCAAUCUUCUCUCUACUCUUCCUCUCCGACUCCUCGAUAGUGUGGAGAAGUUCUUCAGUGACCUCGACCCGAGCAUGAGUAGUCUGGGCCUGAUCCUCGAGCUUUGCGUUGAGUCAGACGAACCCGAUCAACCCCUCAGACAAAACAGUCAUGUCGUGUAUCAUCUGCGAAAGAGAAAAAUUGGUUAAGUCAUCUACUAGGCUAAAAGCCAUUCAAAAAUUGAACCGAAGGAGAAAAGGUCGAAGACUUAUCCUGAUCAAUGAUGUGUAGGCACCCGAUUGAAUUUUCGAGACUGGACGGACCUUCCUGACUUCCCAGCCCAUGGAUAGCUUGACCAUUUCUGCUAACUCAACAAAUCGGUGGUCUUAGAG
rnacentral:lncRNA from 1 species